rnacentral:lncRNA from 1 species
ACAAAGUAAUUUCUUUAUACGACUUUGGAACAAAGUAUUCAAAGAUAUCCAUGAAAGACUUAGCGCAAUUCAAACACGGAAGCACCAAUAUGCCUGUUGACCUGACAUCCAUUUUCCAACCAGUCCCACGCUUAUCAGAAAUUUAUACACCCUCUGAGAAACAAGCAAAAACCAGUACUAACUUCAACAAAGAGAAUACCGGACUCUGCUAUCAAUCACUCUCGUUGCUUUCGGAAGCUUCUCUUCAGCGCACUCAAGACACAAUUCAACUCCAUCAAACAAAACAGGUAUAUAAUAUAGACGAAUAAUUGUUAGAAGCACUACAAAACUCUGCUUUAGUCAUACUCAUAAUACAUCACACGUUCCACUUGCUCGUAUUACCAACACCUGUGUUGCUGCUUGCGUGUGACGCACGUAAUUGAUAAGCUACGUGUAACCUUCUCUUCUCAGAGCACACAUCUCUAUAAUUCCAGCAUUAUGUCAUUUCUUGUUUCUGCGCGGUGCACUUAUGCAUGAAAUAACCUUGCUAUUAUCUCUAUAGAUAUAUCGAUAUAUAUAUAUAUGUGUGUGUGUGUGCGCU